UGGGGAAUAUUGCACAAUGGGCGCAAGCCUGAUGCAGCCAUGCCGCGUGUGUGAAGAAGGCCUUCGGGUUGUAAAGCACUUUCAGCGGGGAGGAAGGCGAUAAGGUUAAUAACCUUGUCGAUUGACGUUACCCGCAGAAGAAGCACCGGCUAACUCCGUGCCAGCAGCCGCGGUAAUACGGAGGGUGCAAGCGUUAAUCGGAAUUACUGGGCGUAAAGCGCACGCAGGCGGUCUGUCAAGUCGGAUGUGCAAUCCCCGGGCUCAACCUGGGAACUGCAUCUGAUACUGGCAAGCUUGAGUCUAGUAGAGGGGGGUAGAAUUCCAGGUGUAGCGGUGAAAUGCGUAGAGAUCUGGAGGAAUACCGGUGGCGAAGGAGGCCCCCUGGACGAAGACUGACGCUCAGGUGCGAAAGCGUGGGGAGCAAACAGG
rnacentral:rRNA from 1 species